rnacentral:rRNA from 1 species
UACGGGGGGGGGCAAGCGUUGUUCGGAAUUACUGGGCGUAAAGGGCUCGUAGGUGGCCAACUAAGUCAGACGUGAAAUCCCACAGCUCAACUGUGGAACUGCGCUCUAAACUACAUGGCUAGAGGGAUAUAGAGGUGAGCGGAACUGAUGGUGGAGCGGUGAAAUGCGUUGAUAUCAUCAGGAACACCGGAGGCGAAGGCGGCUCACUGGGGUAUCUUCUGACGCUGAGGUACGAAAGCUAGGGGGAGCGAAACGGGG